rnacentral:rRNA from 1 species
UGGGGAAUAUUGCACAAUGGGCGCAAGCCCGAUGCAGCCAUGCCGCGUGUGUGAAGAAGGCCUUCGGGUUGUAAAGCACUUUCAGCGAGGAGGAAGGGUGGUGUGUUAAUAGCACAUUGCAUUGACGUUACUCGCAGAAGAAGCACCGGCUAACUCCGUGCCAGCAGCCGCGGUAAUACGGAGGGUGCAAGCGUUAAUCGGAAUUACUGGGCGUAAAGCGCACGCAGGCGGUUUGUUAAGUCAGAUGUGAAAUCCCCGCGCUUAACGUGGGAACUGCAUUUGAAACUGGCAAGCUAGAGUCUUGUAGAGGGGGGUAGAAUUCCAGGUGUAGCGGUGAAAUGCGUAGAGAUCUGGAGGAAUACCGGUGGCGAAGGCGGCCCCCUGGACAAAGACUGACGCUCAGGUGCGAAAGCGUGGGGAGCAAACA